GAUAUGAUUCAGUUCACGGGCCUGAUUCUAACACUAAUUAGGAUAUGCUCCAGUUCAGGGGGCUGACUCUAACACUAAUUAGGAUGUGAUUAAGAUCACAGGCCUCUAAUUAGAAUUAUAGCAUUAUUAUUUAUUUCCACAAAUCACAUUUUCAUACAACUCUUUAUAGUGAAAUGUUACACACAUCUAUUUUGAUUUAAAUCGUAUCAUUGAUUAUUCAUCUAUAACUUAGACUUUUGAAAUAGUUUAUUAUACCCCCCGCAACAAGUUGUGGGUGGGGGGGGGGGGGUAUACUGGAAUCGGGUUGUCCGUCUGUCUGUCCGUCCGUCUGUAGACGCAAUGGUUUCCGGGCUCUAAAGCAUUAUCCUUUCCACCUACCGUCACCAUAUCAUAUAUAUAUGGACUACCCAUGGGAUGAAGAUGUUCCCUAUCGAUUUUGGGGUCAAAAGGUCAAAGGUCACGCGCACUGGACAUCAAAGUAGCAAUAUGGUUUCCAUUUAAAUUCUUUAAUGGCUUUUUUCAUCGCAUGGAGAUGCUGUGUUCCUAGAUACCUUUUGGAUCAUAAUAUUGAAGUUUUACCUAUUUCCAACACCCUUUAGGAGAUUGGGAUUGGCAGUUUACUCCAUGCACCGAAAGGAAUGAUAAACUGUGAUAUUCGUAAAUGGAACUGGAACACGUUCUAAAUAUACUCAGGGACAGAAUGAUGUGCAGCAAGGCUCGUCAUGGAUUUUACCAAAUACAGAACACUGCAAGGCUUGCAAAAUGAAGACCUCAGUAAAAAAAUUUCUAAAUUAUCCACUAAUGGCAGCUCACUACCUGCCCCUUGUGAUGUUAAAAGAGGCCGUUGUUCUCAUUUGUUCCAAAACAGGAAUGGCAUAUGAGGAGGCCAACAGAAGAUGCACCUCCACUGACCUCCACUGAGUGUGCACUCACAAAACGAAUAAAUUAUUAUUAUUUCUUUUGUUUGUAAUUGUAUAUUGUCAACAAGGUCAAAGGCACUUGAUCCGAUGCCAAACUUUUGCAUUUCUUUUGCUUUGUGGUAAAUUUUCUUCAGCAACAUUAACAUUGUUUAAAUUGUUUUCUUUGGAGAGUUUACAUGUACACAUGGAUCAUUUGUAUAUUAGAAUUAUAGCAUUGUUUAAUUCAACUCAUUCUUAUCAUAGAGAGGUUAUUAUAUACUGCAGGCAACGACUUGUAAAGGGUAUACUGUUUUAACUCACAUGCAAGGCAGUAUUAUGAAACUCUGUAGUUGAUAAGGACAUAUAUCACAUAUCGAUAUGCAUAUUUACAGGAAACUCUGAUGUAUUUUAAAUCUGAACGUUAAUUUAAAAGUGGGGAGAAAUAGCAUUGGAUGAAAAAAGACACAUAUGAAGAAAAUUAUUCCAUACGUAAAUACUUUUUAGCUCACCUGAGCUGAAAGCUCAAGUGAGCUUUUCUGAUCGCCUGUUGUUCAUUGUCUGUCCGUGCAUGAUUAAACAUUUUAUAUUUUCUCCAGAAGCACUGGGCCAAUAAUAACCAAACUUAACCAAAAGUAUCCUUGGGUAAAGGGCUUUCGAGUUUGUUCAAAUGAAGGGUCAUGCCCUCUUCAAAGGGGAGAUGACCACAAAAAUAGGGUGGGUCAUUUAAUUUUUUUAUCAAGAACCAUUGGGCCAGAAGAGCUGAAAUGUACAUGAAAGCUUCCUGACAUAGUACAGAUUCAAGUUUAUUGAAAUCAUGGCCUCCUGGGAUUGUAUGGGGCCACAAUAGAGAAUCAAAGUUUUACAUACAAUUAUUCAGGAAAACUCUUUCAAUAUGAGCCAAGGUGGCUCAGGUGAGCGAUGUGGCCCAUGGGCCUCUUGUUCAACAUAUAGAAUAAAUAGUUAUGUUGUAUUUCCCAUGGAACAUUGAAACGUUUAAUGCGUUUACCAAUUAAUCACUGAAAGAAAGAUAAAAUUGUUGUUUCAUAUGUUUUAUGAAAACUUAAAGAUGUUUCAUUUCUUUUCAUGAAAGACCCCUUAAUUACCCAGUAAUAAAUAAUCAAUUCUUAACAGAUUAUGUAAAUUUGAUUUAUAUUAAGGAUAUUUGAUUUAUAUUAAGGAUGUUUGAUCUGAUUACCCAUCAUUAUCAAUCUGGAAAAUAUUUCAAUGUCAAAGGUUACAACAAUGUGAUAAUUUAAUCAUUGUAUGUCUAAGGUGUUGAUAAUAAAACUGUUAUCUGUUCA